rnacentral:rRNA from 1 species
AUUGAACGCUGGCGGCAGGCCUAACACAUGCAAGUCGAGCGGUAGAGAGGUGCUUGCAUCUCUUGAGAGCGGCGGACGGGUGAGUAAUGCCUAGGAAUCUGCCUAGUGGUGGGGGAUAACGUUCGGAAACGGACGCUAAUACCGCAUACGUCCUACGGGAGAAAGCGGGGGAUCUUCGGACCUCGCGCCAUUAGAUGAGCCUAGGUCGGAUUAGCUAGUUGGUGAGGUAAUGGCUCACCAAGGCGACGAUCCGUAACUGGUCUGAGAGGAUGAUCAGUCACACUGGAACUGAGACACGGUCCAGACUCCUACGGGAGGCAGCAGUGGGGAAUAUUGGACAAUGGGCGAAAGCCUGAUCCAGCCAUGCCGCGUGUGUGAAGAAGGUCUUCGGAUUGUAAAGNACUUAAGUUGGGAGGAAGGGUUGUAGAUUAAUAACUCUGCAA